rnacentral:rRNA from 1 species
UACGUAGGGUGCGAGCGUUAAUCGGAAUUACUGGGCGUAAAGCGUGCGCAGGCGGUGAUGUAAGACAGUUGUGAAAUCCCCGGGCUCAACCUGGGAACUGCAUCUGUGACUGCAUCGCUGGAGUGCGGCAGAGGGGGAUGGAAUUCCGCGUAUAGCAGUGAAAUGCGUAGAUAUGCGGAGGAACACCGAUGGCGAAGGCAAUCCCCUGGGCCUGCACUGACGCUCAUGCACGAAAGCGUGGGGAGCAAACAGG